UAGGGAAUCUUCGGCAAUGGGGGCAACCCUGACCGAGCAACGCCGCGUGAGUGAAGAAGGUUUUCGGAUCGUAAAGCUCUGUUGUAAGAGAAGAACGUGUGUGAGAGUGGAAAGUUCACACAGUGACGGUAACUUACCAGAAAGGGACGGCUAACUACGUGCCAGCAGCCGCGGUAAUACGUAGGUCCCGAGCGUUGUCCGGAUUUAUUGGGCGUAAAGCGAGCGCAGGCGGUUUAAUAAGUCUGAAGUUAAAGGCAGUGGCUUAACCAUUGUUCGCUUUGGAAACUGUUAAACUUGAGUGCAGAAGGGGAGAGUGGAAUUCCAUGUGUAGCGGUGAAAUGCGUAGAUAUAUGGAGGAACACCGGUGGCGAAAGCGGCUCUCUGGUAUGUAACUGACGCUGAGGCUCGAAAGCGUGGGGAGCAAACAGG
rnacentral:rRNA from 1 species